UAAAGGUUUUGAAGCUGGAAGAAUAGUGGGUUGAAAGAAAUAUGUUAUUGAAAUGAUGUUUUGAAGAGGAAAUUAGAUGAAAGUGAAAUGAAUUAAACAA
rnacentral:tRNA from 1 species